rnacentral:rRNA from 1 species
UACGUAGGGUGCAAGCGUUGUCCGGAAUUAUUGGGCGUAAAGAGCUCGUAGGCGGUUUGUCGCGUCUGCUGUGAAAACUCGAGGCUCAACCUCGGGCUUGCAGUGGGUACGGGCAGACUAGAGUGCGGUAGGGGUGACUGGAAUUCCUGGUGUAGCGGUGGAAUGCGCAGAUAUCAGGAGGAACACCGGUGGCGAAGGCGGGUCUCUGGGCCGAUACUGACGCUGAGGAGCGAAAGCGUGGGGAGCGAACAGG